GGAAAAUGCAAGAACUGAUUUUCCAACUAACUUGUCUUAUGGAAUAUCAUAACAUGACAGAAAGUUACAUGUCCCUCUGUAAGUAACUAUUAGUACAACCUCAACCAAAGAAAACCAUCUGAGAAAACCUGUUUUACUGAGGUAAAGACUAGCAUUGACUAAAAAAUGCAUUCAUAGCUUGGUUUUUCCAGCCAACGUGUCCCAAAUGAGUUGACCACCCACUGCAUAUAAGAGUCUUGAUUCCUCUAGCCAACCCAUGUUGAACAAGUUGUCCUCAAAGUAAAUGGAGACAAAAAUGGCUGCUCAAAAACUAGUCCCAGUAUUUGAUCAAACCAUCCCAGCCACAAGUAGCAACUUUACUUUGUUCCAGAGGAUGCCACUCUGCACCAAUACAGACCCCAUCAUGACACUUGAGAGUUCUGAAGACCUUACACGAUUUCCAAUCCCAAAACCAGCAUCUGCCUUCACCAUCUCCUGAGAAGACAAACCGUCCAUCAGGUGAGAAAUUGACCUGGCAGGCAUAACCAGCGACAAUGUGUCCAGCAAAUCUUUUCUUUUUAUUCAGCUGAAAUCUCUCUCGCGUACUGUAAAUAAGAAUCUGGUUAUCCAAACUUUGUGCUGCAAUCCAAUUCCCAUUUGGAUGGGGCGAAAUAGAUGGCAUGGAAUGCAUAUGGGGUUCACUUAUAUACUUGAUAACAACCGGAAUACCAUAUUCCCAAACACGUAGUGAUUUAUCAUCACUAGAGGUCACAAACCUUCUGUUAUUAUCCACAAAGGUAAUUGUAUUAACUGCCCCCAGAUGUUGAUCGUACUCUUGUGUAAUCUGUCCACUGUUUAUAUCCCACUGCACAAUCUUCUUAUCACUCAUACCAGCCAAAAGUACAUUCUGCUUAUCUUCAUCAGGAUUAAGCCUCACCACAUAGGGUAUCUUACCCGUCGUGAACGUUUGAAUUACUUGUCCUGUUUCUGUAUCCCAAUACUUAAUGUACUUAUCAUAUCCAGCUGUCAAAAACUUCGUCCCGUCAUUGCUAAACCAAAUAUCCCUCACUGCCUUUGUAUGCCCCAUGUAAGUCCUCAUACAUUUACCGGAAUUGUAAACAUCCCAAAUUUUCACCUUUGUAUCCAUCCCAGCUGACAAAAUCAAAUGACCAUGCUUAGGGAAAAACCUAAUGGCUGAAACCCCUUUCGUGUGUCCACUCCAAGUAUGUACCAAUCUCUUUGGUAUAUAGCAAUGAUCAUUAGCAGCCUUUGCAUCCUUCGGUGGAGCGAUCCAAGACCUGCCCUGAUAAUCCUUUUCCUCUUUACCAUGAAAUGUGCUCUUUUCAACCAUAGGCUCCGCCUUAUCUUUAUCACCACCUCUUUCUUCACCCUUCUUCUUAGCAUACUCUUCAGCAUAUUUUUUCUGCUCCUCAGAUAAUUCCACUUGCAACCCUUCUUUCUUUCCAGCCCAUGGACUCUUCCUGUUCUUCAUCAACCAUGUGUCGGUGGACGGAUUUUCAACUUCCGUCAUAUCCACAUCCUGCUCAUCACCCUCCUCCUCCAUUUUUUCCUUCUUCUUCUCUAACUUCCUCUUCUUCUGUUCAUGCUGUGGUAUGUUAUACACAGAAAUUGCAUCACAUUCCUUCAUUUUUUCCAAAUCACCGAUGUAGCUAUUUUCAGAGGGAUCAACAGCGUACCCAUACUUCUGAAAAGUAUUGUACUGCUCAUCGAAUACAAAGGGCUCAAUAGACGCGUCCUCUACGAACCCUAACUUGUGAUUUCUGAGUCCUUGAGCUAACCCGUCCUUUGCGUACGGGUGAGCUGGACCACAAAUUGGUGCCCAUAGUUGUUCGUACGUCGGGUUGAAUCCAACAACGUGCUGGGUCGGGUCAAGGGGUUUGGAUUGAGCUCUGGCAGCUUCGCCGGCGACUGUUAGGGCUAGCAUGGUGUCGUCGACUUUAGGGGCGGCGGAUUUAGAAGGAAGCAUGCGUAUUGGGGAAGAAUCCGGCGAUUCAUCCUCGUAUGAAGAUUGUAAAAGAUCCAUGGGAUACGCACAAACUAUGAAAAAUGGCGAAAGCUUUAUAUUUUGAUUAGAAACCUAAUUUUUUUUAUUUUUUUUUGAGCUAAC
rnacentral:misc_RNA from 1 species